GCGCGAAAACUUUACAAUGCUGGCAACAGCGAUAAGGGAACCUCGAGUGCCAGGUUACAAAUCUGGCUGUCGAGAUGCCUAAAAAGCAUUUCAUAGCAAGGGCCGGGCAAGACCGGUGCCAGCCGCCGCGGUAACACCGGCGGCUCGAGUGGUAACCGUUAUUAUUGGGUCUAAAGGGUCUGUAGCCGGCCGGAUAAGUCUCUUGGGAAAUCUGGCAGCUCAACUGUCAGGCUUUCAGGAGAUACUGUCUGGCUCGAGGCCGGGAGAGGUGAGAGGUACUUCAAGGGUAGGGGUGAAAUCUUGUAAUCCUUGAAGGACCACCAGUGGCGAAGGCGUCUCACCAGAACGGACCUGACGGCAAGGGACGAAAGCUAGGGGCACGAACCG
rnacentral:rRNA from 1 species